rnacentral:tRNA from 1 species
CGGGGUAUCGCUCAAGGGUAGGGCACUCGUCUGAUACGCGAGAAAUCUCGGUUCGAGUCCGAGUACCCCGAC